GACGAACGCUGGCGGCGUGCUUAACACAUGCAAGUCGAACGGAAAGGCCCUGCUUUUGUGGGGUGCUCGAGUGGCGAACGCGUGAGUAACACGUGAGUAACCUGCCCUUGACUUUGGGGUAACUUCACGAAACUGGGGCUAAUACCGGAUAGGAGCUCCUGCUGCAUGGUGGGGGUUGGAAAGUUUCGGCGGUUGUGGAUGGACUCGCGGCUUAUCAGCUUGUUGGUGGGGUAGUGGCUUACCAAGGCUUUGACGGGUCGCCGGCCUGAGAGGGUGACCGGCGACAUUGGGACUGAGAGACGGCGCAGACGCCUACGGGAGGCAGCAGUGGGGAAUAUUGCACAAUGGGCGGAAGCCUGAUGCAGCAACGCCGCGUGCGGGAUGACGGCCUUCGGGUUGUAAACCGCUUUCGCCUGUGACGAAGCGUGAGUGACGGUAAUGGGUAAAGAAGCACCGGCUAACUACGUG
rnacentral:rRNA from 1 species